CCCUAGUAACGGCGAGUGAAGCGGCAACAGCUCAGAUUUGAAAUCCGGCGCUCGCGCCCGAGUUGUAAUCUGGAGAGGAAGCCUCUGGCGACGCGCCGCCCGAGUUUCCCUGGAACGGGACGCCUUAGAGGGUGAGAGCCCCGUAAGGGACGGCGCCUAGCCUCUGUGAGGCUCUUUCGACGAGUCGAGUAGUUUGGGAAUGCUGCUCUAAAUGGGAGGUAAAUUUCUUCUAAAGCUAAAUACCGGCCAGAGACCGAUAGCGCACAAGUAGAGUGAUCGAAAGAUGAAAAGCACUUUGGAAAGAGGGUGAAACAGUACGUGAAAUUGCUGAAAGGGAAGCGCUUGUGACCAGACUCGCGCCCGGCGGAUCACCCAGCCUCGGCUGGUGCACUCCGCCGGGCCCGGGCCAGCACCGGUCCAGCUCGGGGGAGAAAGACGGCGGGAACGUGGCCCUUCGGGGUGUUAUAGCCCGCCGUGUAAUGCCCUGUGCAGGACCGAGGCCCGCGUCUGCAAGGGUGCUGGNGUAAUGGUCAUCAGCGGCCCGUCUUGAAACACGGACCAAGGAGUCGUCCUCGCAUGCGAGUGUUUGGGUGUAAAACCCCGGCGCGUAAUGAAAGUGAACGUAGGUGGGAGCCUCGGCGCACCAUCGACCGAUCCUGAUGUUCUCGGAUGGAUUUGAGUAAGAGCAUGUGGGGCCGGACCCGAAAGAAGGUGAACUAUGCGUGUAUAGGGUGAAGCCAGAGGAAACUCUGGUGGAGGCUCGCAGCGGUUCUGACGUGCAAAUCGAUCGUCAAAUAUGCGCAUGGGGGCGAAAGACUAAUCGAACCUUCUAGUAGCUGGUUUCCGCCGAAGUUUCCCUCAGGAUAGCAGUGUCGAACUCAGUUUUAUGAGGUAAAGCGAAUGAUUAGGGACUCGGGGGCGCUAUUUAGCCUUCAUCCAUUCUCAAACUUUAAAUAUGUAAG
rnacentral:rRNA from 1 species